rnacentral:rRNA from 1 species
AGUGAACGUUGGCGGCGUGGAUUAGGCAUGCAAGUCGAGCGAGAACCCAGCAAUGGGGGACAGCGGCGCAAGGGACAGUAAUGUGUAGAUCAUCUGCCCUCAGGCCCGGGAUAGCUGCGGGAAACUGCAGGUAAUACCGGAUAACAUCUCCGACUCAAAGCUGUGAUUCCGCCUGAGGAUGAGUCUACAUCCAGUUAGCUAGUUGGCAGGGUAACGGCCUACCAAGGCGAUGAUGGGUAGCGGGUGUGUGAGCACGACCCGCGUCAUUGGGCAUGAGACACUGCCCAGAUACCUACGGGUGGCUGCAGUCGAGAAUCGUCGGCAAUGGGCGCAAGCCUGACCGAGCGACGCCGCGUGCGGGAUGAAGGCCUUCGGGUUGUAAACCGCUGUCAGAGGGGAUGAAAUGCAGGUGGGUUCUCCCAUCUGUUUGACAUAGCCUCAGAGGAAGGACGGGCUAAGUUCGUGCCAGCCGCCGCGGUAAUAC